UACAGAGGGGGCAAGCGUUGUUCGGAAUUACUGGGCGUAAAGGGCGCGUAGGCGGCCUACUAAGUCGAACGUGAAAUCCCUGGGCUCAACCCAGGAACUGCGUCCGAUACUGGGAGGCUUGAAUCCGGGAGAGGGAUGCGGAAUUCCAGGUGUAGCGGUGAAAUGCGUAGAUAUCUGGAGGAACACCGGUGGCGAAGGCGGCAUCCUGGAACGGCAUUGACGCUGAGGCGCGAAAGCCAGGGGAGCAAACGGG
rnacentral:rRNA from 1 species